rnacentral:rRNA from 1 species
UACAGAGGGGGCAAGCGUUAUUCGGAAUUAUUGGGCGUAAAGGGCGCGUAGGCGGCUUGGCAAGUGGAUGGUGAAAUCCCUCGGCUUAACCGAGGAACUGCCGUCCAAACUGCUUCGCUUGAGACCGGGAGAGGUGAGUGGAAUUCCCAGUGUAGCGGUGAAAUGCGUAGAUAUUGGGAGGAACACCAGUGGCGAAGGCAGGUUACUGGUACGCAACUGACGCUGAGGCACGAAAGCGUGGGGAGCAAACAGG